GGAACUCGGCAUUAGGAUCCUCAACCAACAAUGGAAGCUGAGAUAGGCAAAUUUCAGCAGCCAUAUCCCAUGCAUCCCACAUAUGAUGCUGAUGAGUUGGCGGCAACAUUGGGUGAGAAAUUGGUGAACAAUUUGCAGAACGCAUAAUCCUCUCAGCCAGUAAAAAAUUUCUGAACAAACUGGCAACUAACAAAUCUUGUCUGAACAGUCUCUGGAAAAGAUCAUG
rnacentral:misc_RNA from 1 species